rnacentral:rRNA from 1 species
UACGAAGGGGCUAGCGUUGCUCGGAAUCACUGGGCGUAAAGCGCACGUAGGCGGAUCUUUAAGUCAGGGGUGAAAUCCCAAGGCUCAACCUUGGAACUGCCUUUGAUACUGGGGAUCUCGAGUCCGGAAGAGGUGAGUGGAACUGCGAGUGUAGAGGUGAAAUUCGUAGAUAUUCGCAAAGAACACCCAGUGGCGGAAGGC